CGAUGUACUGCGGAGGACAUUACCUAGAGUUGCGGGCUUUGCCUGCCAUCUCUUACCCAUGUCUUUUGAGUACCUUACGUUUCCUCGGCGGGUCCGCCCGCCGACUGGACAAUUUAAACCACUUGCAGUUGCAAUCAGCGUCUGAAAAAACUUAAUAGUUACAACUUUCAACAACGGAUCUCUUGGUUCUGGCAUCGAUGAAGAACGCAGCGAAAUGCGAUAAGUAGUGUGAAUUGCAGAAUUCAGUGAAUCAUCGAAUCUUUGAACGCACAUUGCGCCCCUUGGUAUUCCAUGGGGCAUGCCUGUUCGAGCGUCAUUUGUACCUUCAAGCCUUGCUUGGUGUUGGGUGUUUGUCUCGCCUCUGCGCGUAGACUCGCCUCAAAACAAUUGGCAGCCGGCGUAUUGAUUUCGGAGCGCAGUACAUCUCGCGCUUUGCACUCAGAACGACGACGUCCAAAAGUACAUUUUUACACUCUUGACCUCGGAUCAGGUAGGGAUACCCGCUGAACUUAAGCAUAUAAA
rnacentral:rRNA from 1 species